rnacentral:rRNA from 1 species
GAUGAACGCUGGCGGCGUGCCUAAUACAUGCAAGUCGAGCGAACGGACGAGAAGCUUGCUUCUCUGAUGUUAGCGGCGGACGGGUAAGUAACACGUGGAUAACCUACCUAUAAGACUGGGAUAACUUCGGGAAACCGGAGCUAAUACCGGAUAAUAUUUUGAACCGCAUGGUUCAAAAGUGAAAGACGGUCUUGCUGUCACUUAUAGAUGGAUCCGCGCUGCAUUAGCUAGUUGGUAAGGUAACGGCUUACCAAGGCAACGAUGCAUAGCCGACCUGAGAGGGUGAUCGGCCACACUGGAACUGAGACACGGUCCAGACUCCUACGGGAGGCAGCAGUAGGGAAUCUUCCGUAAUGGGCGAAAGCCUGACGGAGCAACGCCGCGUGAGUGAUGAAGGUCUUCGGAUCGUAAAACUCUGUUAUUAGGGAAGAACAUAUGUGUAAGUAACUGUGCACAUCUUGACGGUACCUAAUCAGAAAGCCACGGCUAACUACGUG